GAGAUAUGAUGAUUUAUAUAUUGGUCCGUGUUUCUGAAUCACCGUGACCGACAACUACAUAACCAUUUUCUGAUCUC